CCCGCACAAGCGGUGGAGCAUGUGGUUUAAUUCGACGAUACGCGAAGAACCUUACCCGGGUUUGACAUUGUAUCGAAGCAUCCAGAGAUGGAUGUGUCUCUUCGGAGACGGUAUGACAGGUGCUGCAUGGCUGUCGUCAGCUCGUGUCGUGAGAUGUUGGGUUAAGUCCCGUAACGAGCGCAACCCUUGUGUUUUAGUUGCAAACAGGUCAAGCUGUGCACUCUAGACAGACUGCCGUGGACAACACGGAGGAAGGUGGGGAUGACGUCAAAUCAUCAUGCCCCUUAUGAUCUGGGCUACACACGUGCUACAAUGGCCGGUACAACGGGCAGCGAAGGAGCGAUCCGGAGCGAAUCCUAAAAAGCCGGUCCCAGUUCGGAUUGCAGGCUGAAACUCGCCUACAUGAAGUUGGAGUUGCUAGUAAUCGCGAAUCAGAAUGUCGCGGUGAAUGCGUUCCCGGGUCUU
rnacentral:rRNA from 1 species